UACGUAGGGUGCGAGCGUUGUCCGGAAUUAUUGGGCGUAAAGAGCUCGUAGGCGGUGUGUCACGUCGUUCGUGAAAACCUGCACUUAACUGUGGGCGUGCGGUCGAUACGGGCAUCACUGGAGUUCGGCAGGGGAGACUUGGAAUUCCUGGUGUAGCGGUGAAAUGCGCAGAUAUCAGGAGGAACACCCGGUGGCGGAAGGCGGGUCUCUGGGCCGAUACUGACGCUGAGGAGCGAAAGCGUGGGGAGCAAACAGG
rnacentral:rRNA from 1 species